GCUCAGGAUGAACGCUGGCGGCGUGCCUAAUACAUGCAAGUCGAACGAGGUGCCUUUGUAGCAAUACGAGGGUAUCCUAGUGGCGAACGGGUGAGUAACGCGUUGGUGACCUACCCCAAAGUGUGGGAUACCAGUCCGAAAGGACUGCUAAUACCGCAUGUGGUCAUCGGGUUCAGAAACCGAUGUCGAAAGCAGUAAUGCGCUUUGGGAGGGACCUGCGUCCCAUCAGCUAGUUGGUAGGGUAACGGCCUACCAAGGCUACGACGGGUAGGGGACCUGAGAGGGUGACCCCCCACAAUGGAACUGAAAUACGGUCCAUACACCUACGGGUGGCAGCAGUAGGGAAUAUUGCACAAUGGACGAAAGUCUGAUGCAGCAACGCCGCGUGCACGAUGAAGGCCUUCGGGUCGUAAAGUGCUUUUCUGGGAGAUGAGAAAGGACAGUAUCCCAGGAAUAAGUCUCGGCUAACUACGUGCCAGCAGCCGCGGUAAAACGUAGGAGGCAAGCGUUAUCCGGAUUCACUGGGCGUAAAGCGUGUGCAGGCGGUUCGGUAAGUUGGGCGUGAAAUCUCCCGGCUUAACUGGGAGAGGUCGUUCAAUACUACCGGACUAGAGAGCAGUAGAGGAAGAUGGAAUUCCCGGUGUAGUGGUGAAAUGCGUAGAUAUCGGGAGGAACACCAGUGGCGAAGGCGAUCUUCUGGACUGUUUCUGACGCUCAUACACGAAAGCUAGGGUAGUAAACGGGAUUAGAGACCCCGGUAAUCCUAGCUGUAAACGAUGUGAACUUGGCGUCGGUAGCUUAAACACUAUCGGUGCCGAAGCAAACGCGAUAAGUUCACCGCCUGGGGACUACGAUCGCAAGAUUAAACUCAAAG
rnacentral:rRNA from 1 species